rnacentral:rRNA from 1 species
AUUGAACGCUGGCGGCAUGCCUUACACAUGCAAGUCGAGCGGAUCCUUCGGGAUUAGUGGCGGACGGGUGAGUAACACGUGGGAACGUGCCCUUUGGUUCGGAACAACUCAGGGAAACUUGAGCUAAUACCGGAUGUGCCCUUCGGGGGAAAGAUUUAUCGCCAUUGGAGCGGCCCGCGUCCGAUUAGCUAGUUGGUGAGGUAAAGGCUCACCAGGGCGACGAUCAGUAGCUGGUCUGAGAGGAUGAUCAGCCACAUUGGGACUGAGACACGGCCCAAACUCCUACGGGAGGCAGCAGUGGGGAAUCUUGCGCAAUGGGCGAAAGCCUGACGCAGCCAUGCCGCGUGAAUGAUGAAGGUCUUAGGAUUGUAAAAUUCUUUCACCGGGGACGAUAAUGACGGUACCCGGAGAAGAAGCCCCGGCUAACUUCGUGCCAGCCGCCGCCGUAACAC